GGAGGGUUGGCUGAGAGGCUGAAGGCGCCGCACUCGAAAUGCGGUUGGGGAGAAAUCUCCACAGAGGUUCAAAUCCUCUACCCUCCG
rnacentral:tRNA from 1 species